AUGACCGUGGAGGGCGGCAUGGUGCUCCGGGACCUGAUCCGCGCCGCCGCCGCCGCGGGGCUCGCGCUGCCGCACUCGCCCUACUGGUACGGCGUCAGCGUCGGUGGCCUGCUGGCCACGGGCGCUCACGGGAGCUCGCUGUGGGGGAAAGGCAGCGCCGUGCACGAGUACGUGGUCGGGAUGAGGAUCGUCACGCCAGCGCCGGCGAACCAGGGGUUCGCCGUUGUGAGGGAGCUCGGCGCCGACCACCCCGACCUGGACGCGGCCAAGGUCUCGCUCGGCGUCCUUGGCGUCGUCUCCCAGGUUACUUUGCAGUUGCAACCGAUGUUCAAGCGGUCCGUCAUGUUCCUGGAGCGCGACGAUUCGGACCUGGCGGCGCAGGUGGCCGUGUGGGGCGACCUACACGAGUUCGGUGACAUGACAUGGCUGCCGCGCCAAGGCAAGGUCAUCUACCGCGAGGAUGACCGUGUCGAUGUCUCGUCGCCCGGCGAUGGCCUCAACGACUACCUCGGCUUCCGCUCCUUCCCGACGCUCGGGCUCAUCGUCGCGAGAGUCGCGGAGGAGCAUGUGGAGGAAAUCAACGACAUGGCACGAUGCCUAGCCGCGGGGGUGCUGCCCGCCAAGUUCCCCAUGCAGGCGUAUGGCUUCACCAACGACGGUUCCUCCUUCAUGGGAUACCCGGUGGUCGGGUACCAGCACCGCAUCCAGGCGUCCAGCUCAUGCAUCGGUGCCAAGGGCACCCUGCUCCGCUCCUCAUGCACGUGGGACCCACGCGUCCGGAGCCUCUUCUUCUACAACUCGGGCUUCAGCGUCGCGCUCUCCAAAGCCCCGACGCUGGUCGCCGACAUGCAACGACUUCGCGACCUCAACCCACGCGCCCUAUGCAGCCUCCACGCCAAGAUGGGCGUGCUCAUCCGCUACGUUGGGGCCUCCUCCGCCUACCUCGGCAAGACGGAGGACUCGGUCAAUUUUGACUUCACCUAUUACCGGAGCUACACCCAAGGCAGGCCGUGUGCUCACUCUGAUGUGAUCGACGAGCUCGAACAUAUGGCUUUGUUAAGUAUGGCGUCGUCCCGCAAUGGGGCAAGAACCACAACUUCGGCUUCGACGGCGCCAUCGCCAAGUGCGCAAAGUCCGGCGAGUUCCUCAAAGUGA
rnacentral:rRNA from 1 species